AAGAACUCCAUACCUCGCUCGG
rnacentral:miRNA from 1 species